rnacentral:rRNA from 1 species
GGGUUGUGAGGUUAAGCGACUAAGCGUACACGGUGGAUGCCCUGGCAGUCAGAGGCGAUGAAGGGCGUGCUAAUCUGCGAUAAGCGCCGGUAAGGUGAUAUGAACCGUUAUAACCGGCGAUACCCGAAUGGGGAAACCCAGUGUGAUUCGUCACACUAUCAUUAACUGAAUCCAUAGGUUAAUGAGGCGAACCGGGGGAACUGAAACAUCUAAGUACCCCGAGGAAAAGAAAUCAACCGAGAUUCCCCCAGUAGCGGCGAGCGAACGGGGAGGAGCCCAGAGCCUGAAUCAGCAUGUGUGUUAGUGGAAGCGUCUGGAAAGGCGCGCGAUACAGGGUGACAGCCCCGUACACAAAAGCGCAUGUGCUGUGAGCUCGAUGAGUAGGGCGGGACACGUGGUAUCCUGUCUGAAUAUGGGGGGACCAUCCUCCAAGGCUAAAUACUCCUGACUGACCGAUAGUGAACCAGUACCGUGAGGGAAAGGCGAAAAGAACCCCGGCGAGGGGAGUGAAAAAGAACCUGAAACCGUGUACGUACAAGCAGUGGGAGCACAGGUUUACCUGUGUGACUGCGUACCUUUUGUAUAAUGGGUCAGCGACUUAUAUUCUGUAGCAAGGUUAACCGUAUAGGGGAGCCGGAGGGAAACCGAGUCUUAAUUGGGCGUUAAGUUGCAGGGUAUAGACCCGAAACCCGGUGAUCUAGCCAUGGGCAGGUUGAAGGUUGGGUAACACUAACUGGAGGACCGAACCGACUAAUGUUGAAAAAUUAGCGGAUGACCUGUGGCUGGGGGUGAAAGGCCAAUCAAACCGGGAGAUAGCUGGUUCUCCCCGAAAGCUAUUUAGGUAGCGCCUCGUGAAUUCAUCUCCGGGGGUAGAGCACUGUUUCGGCUAGGGGGCCAUCCCGGCUUACCAACCCGAUGCAAACUGCGAAUACCGGAGAAUGUUAUCACGGGAGACACACGGCGGGUGCUAACGUCCGUCGUGAAGAGGGAAACAACCCAGACCGCCAGCUAAGGUCCCAAAGUCAUGGUUAAGUGGGAAACGAUGUGGGAAGGCCCAGACAGCCAGGAUGUUGGCUUAGAAGCAGCCAUCAUUUAAAGAAAGCGUAAUAGCUCACUGGUCGAGUCGGCCUGCGCGGAAGAUGUAACGGGGCUAAACCAUGCACCGAAGCUGCGGCAGCGACGCUUAUGCGUUGUUGGGUAGGGGAGCG